rnacentral:rRNA from 1 species
UACGUAGGGUGCAAGCGUUAAUCGGAAUUACUGGGCGUAAAGCGUGCGUAGACGGCUAUCUACGUCGGGUGUGAAAGCCCCGGGCUCAACCUGGGAAUUGCAUUCGAGACUGAAUAGCUAGGGUGCGGUAGAGGGAAGCGGAAUUUCCGGUGUAGCGGUGAAAUGCGUAGAUAUCGGAAGGAACAUCAGUGGCGAAAGCGGCUUCCUGGACCAGCACCGACGUUCAGGCACGAAAGCGUGGGGAGCAAACAGG